ensembl:lncRNA
CAGUAGGCAGUUUCUCUUCAGACUUGAUACAGUCUCUCCUCAUCUGAGUCUCAUUCUUGUUCUUGAAAAAAACCUGCAACAAUGGCACAAUUUGGCCAUCUGGUGGCAGUGUUGAGCCUAUGCCUGCUGGCUGCUGUGGUGAACUGUCAACAGACCACCCCCCCACCUCCUCCUCGUCUAGGACAAGAGAUCUGCACACACUACACUCAGGGUGGGACCCUCCUUCUGGAUGGGCCAAAAGUCUUUGAAAUGAUGCUGAUUGAGUUUGGACGGGCAAUUCAGACCCUGAACCCUAUGGUGACUCAACAGUGGAUGGAUGAAGUAGAUGACGAUCACGACAAACGCCUCAACAUGGCGGAGUGUGCCAAACUCGUCCAGAGAGUCUCUGAUUCCAUUCAGAGGCCUCCGCAAUAAACAAGUCAUGUCGACUGAUUGAAGUAACUUGUACUUGUGUACGGAAGUACAGUAUAUGAAGAAAAAAUAAGAUCUCACAAACACUUAGUAUGUAGGUCUGUAGCUUAAUCUCAUGUAAUAAAUAUUAUAAUGUAGGC